GGAGGGGGGGAUCUUAGGACCUCUCGCUACAGGGGCGGCCGAUGGCAGAUUAGCUAGUUGGUGGGGUAAAGGCCUACCAAGGCGACGAUCUGUAGCUGGUCUGAGAGGACGACCAGCCACACUGGGACUGAGACACGGCCCAGACUCCUACGGGAGGCAGCAGUGGGGAAUUUUGGACAAUGGGGGCAACCCUGAUCCAGCAAUGCCGCGUGUGUGAAGAAGGCCUUCGGGUUGUAAAGCACUUUUGUCCGGAAAGAAAACGCUCUGGUUAAUACCCGGGGCGGAUGACGGUACCGGAAGAAUAAGCACCGGCUAACUACGUGCCAGCAGCCGCGGUAAUACGUAGGGUGCAAGCGUUAAUCGGAAUUACUGGGCGUAAAGCGUGCGCAGGCGGUCCGCUAAGACAGAUGUGAAAUCCCCGGGCUUAACCUGGGAACUGCAUUUGUGACUGGCGGG
rnacentral:rRNA from 1 species